UUAAGUGAAUAAGCGUACACGGUGGAUGCCUAGGCAGUCAGAGGCGAAGAAGGACGUGCUAAUCUGCGAAAAGCGUCGGUGAGCUGAUAUGAAGCGAGAUGAGCCGGCGAUGUCCGAAUGGGGAAACCCAGUGCAAUGAGUUGCACUAUCAUUAACUGAAUUCAUAGGUUAAUGAGGCGAACCGGGGGAACUGAAACAUCUCAGUACCCCGAGGAAAAGAAAUCAACCGAGAUUCCCCCAGUAGCGGCGAGCGAACGGGGAGGAGCCCAGAGUGUGCAUCAGCGUUGUUAUCAGUGGAAGCGUCUGGAAAGUCGCGCCAUAGUGGGUGAAAGUCCCGUACACGAAGAUGGCGGCGUUGUGAGCUCGAUGAGUAGGGUGGGACACGAGUUAUCCUGUCUGAAGAAGGGGGGACCAUCCUCCAAGGCUAAAUACUCCUGACUGACCGAUAGUGAACCAGUACCGUGAGGGAAAGGCGAAAAGAACCCCGGCGAGGGGAGUGAAAGAGAGCCUGAAACCGUGUACGUACAAGCAGUGGGAGCCGUGAGUAAUCAGGGUGACUGCGUACCUUUUGUAUAAUGGGUCAGCGACUUAUAUUCUGUAGCAAGGUUAACCGGAUAGGGGAGCCGCAGGGAAACCGAGUCUUAACUGGGCGAAGAAGUUGCAGGGUAUAGACCCGAAACCCGGUGAGCUAGCCAUGGGCAGGUUGAAGGUUGGGUAACACUAACUGGAGGACCGAACCGACUAAUGUUGAAAAAUUAGCGGAUGACUUGUGGCUGGGGGUGAAAGGCCAAUCAAACCGGGAGAUAGCUGGUUCUCCCCGAAAGCUAUUUAGGUAGCGCCUCGUGAGUUAAUCUUCGGGGGUAGAGCACUGUUUCGGCUAGGGGGCCAUCCCGGCUUACCAACCCGAUGCAAACUGCGAAUACCGAAGAAUGUUAUCACGGGAGACACACGGCGGGUGCUAACGUCCGUCGUGAAGAGGGAAACAACCCAGACCGCCAGCUAAGGUCCCGAAGUCAUGGUUAAGUGGGAAACGAUGUGGGAAGGCCCAGACAGCCAGGAUGUUGGCUUAGAAGCAGCCAUCAUUGAAAGAAAGCGUAAUAGCUCACUGGUCGAGUCGGCCUGCGCGGAAGAUGUAACGGGGCUAAACCAUGCACCGAAGCUGCGGCAGCGACAUGAAGAUGUUGUUGGGUAGGGGAGCGUUCUGUAAGCCGUAGAAGGUGGAGCUGUGAGGCCUGCUGGAGGUAUCAGAAGUGCGAAUGCUGACAUAAGUAACGAUAAAGCGGGUGAAAAACCCGCUCGCCGGAAGACCAAGGGUUCCUGUCCAACGUUAAUCGGGGCAGGGUGAGUCGACCCCUAAGGUGAGGCUGAAAAGCGUAGCUGAUGGGAAACAGGUUAAUAUUCCUGUACUGGAUAUGACUGCGAAGGGGGGACGGAGAAGGCUAGGCCAUCCGGGCGACGGUCGUCCCGGUUUAAGCGUGUAGGUGUGAGGAGCAGGCAAAUCCGCUCUUCUUUAACACUGAGGCGUGAUGACGAGCCGCUAAGGCGGUGAAGUGGUUGAUGCCCGGCUUCCAGGAAAAGCCUCUAAGCGUCAGGUCAUAUUGAAUCGUACCCGAAACCGACACAGGUGGUCAGGUAGAGAAUACUGAGGCGCUUGAGAGAACUCGGGUGAAGGAACUAGGCAAAAUGGUGCCGUAACUUCGGGAGAAGGCACGCUGGCGUUAGGUGAAGGAGUAGACCUCUGGAGCUGAAGCCAGUCGCAGAGACCAGCUGGCUGCAACUGUUUAUUAAAAACACAGCACUGUGCAAACACGUAAGUGGACGUAUACGGUGUGACGCCUGCCCGGUGCUGGAAGGUUAAUUGAUGGGGUUAGCAUGCGAGUGCGAAGCUCCUGAUCGAAGCCCCAGUAAACGGCGGCCGUAACUAUAACGGUCCUAAGGUAGCGAAAUUCCUUGUCGGGUAAGUUCCGACCUGCACGAAUGGCGUAAUGAUGGCCAGGCUGUCUCCACCCGAGACUCAGUGAAAUUGAACUCGCUGUGAAGAUGCAGUGUACCCGCGGCAAGACGGAAAGACCCCGUGAACCUUUACUAUAGCUUGACACUGAACAUGGAGCCUUGAUGUGUAGGAUAGGUGGGAGGCAGAGAAGUGUGGACGCCAGUCUGCAUGGAGCCGACCUUGAAAUACCACCCUUGAAUGUUCGAUGUUCUCACUCAGGCCCGUGACCCGGGCCGGGGACAGUGUCUGGUGGGUAGUUUGACUGGGGCGGUCUCCUCCUAAAGAGUAACGGAGGAGCACGAAGGUUGGCUAAUCACGGUCGGACAUCGUGAGGUUAGUGCAAAGGCAUAAGCUGGCUUGACUGCGAGAGUGACGGCUCGAGCAGGUACGAAAGUAGGUCUUAGUGAUCCGGUGGUUCUGUAUGGAAGGGCCAUCGCUCAACGGAUAAAAGGUACUCCGGGGAUAACAGGCUGAUACCGCCCAAGAGUUCAUAUCGACGGCGGUGUUUGGCACCUCGAUGUCGGCUCAUCACAUCCUGGGGCUGAAGUAGGUCCCAAGGGUAUGGCUGUUCGCCAUUUAAAGUGGUACGCGAGCUGGGUUUAGAACGUCGUGAGACAGUUCGGUCCCUAUCUGCCGUGGGCGCAGGAAGAUUGAAAGGGGCUGCUCCUAGUACGAGAGGACCGGAGUGGACGCACCGCUGGUGUACGGGUUGUCAUGCCAAUGGCAUAGCCUGGUAGCUAAGUGCGGGAGAGAUAACCGCUGAAAGCAUCUAAGCGGGAAACUUGCCUUGAGAUGAGUCUUCCCUUGACUUGAAGUCACGGAAGGAACGUUUAAGACGAAGACGUGGAUAGGCUGGGUGUGUAAGUGCAGUGAUGCAUUGAGCUGACCAGUACUAAUGAACCGAGCGGCUUAACCU
rnacentral:rRNA from 2 species